ACAGAAUCUUUUAUGAGGGAAGAAGUUAUUGACGGUACCUCAUGAAUAAGGGGCUCCUAAUCUCGUGCCAGCAGGAGCGGUAAUACGAGAGCCCCGAGCGUUAUCCGGAAUUAUUGGGCGUAAAGGGUGCGUAGGUGGUUGUAUUAGUCGUUUGUCAAAUCUUCAGGCUUAACCUGAAAUCCGCGAACGAAACGGUACAACUAGAGAAUGUGAGAGGUGUACAGAACUUAUGGUGUAGGGGUGAAAUCCGUUGAUAUCAUAGGGAAUACCAAAAGCGAAGGCAGUACACUGGCACAUAUCUGACACUCAAGCACGAAAGCGUGGGUAGCGAAUGGGAUUAGAUACCCCAGUAGUCCACGCCCUAAACGAUGAUCUCUAGUCUUUCGGAGUAUCGACCCUCUGAGAGACACAGCUAACGCGUUAAGAGAUCCGCCUGGGAAGUACGGCCGCAAGGCUAAAACUCAAAGGAAUAGACGGGGACUUGCACAAGCAGUGGAUUAUGUGGUUUAAUUCGACGGUAAACGAAGAACCUUACCAAGGUUAGAAAUCUAGACGAAAGCUCUAAGAAACUAGAGACCUCGCAAGACGGUUAGACAAGUGUUGCAUGGGCGUCGUCAGUUCGUGGGUUUGAAUUGUUCCCUUAAGUGGG
rnacentral:rRNA from 1 species